AGCGAGCGUAUUAGCGGAAGUUUUCGGAUGGAAGCGGAUAUGACUUAGCGGCGGACGGGUGAGUAACGCGUGGAUAACCUGCCUCAUACAGGGGGAUAACAGUUAGAAAUGCCUGCUAAUACCGCAUAAGCGCACAGGACCGCAUGGUCCGGUGUGAAAAACUCCGGUGGUAUGGGAUGGAUCCGCGUCUGAUUAGCUGGUUGGUGAGGUAACGGCCCACCAAGGCGACGAUCAGUAGCCGACCUGAGAGGGUGGCCGGCCACAUUGGGACUGAGACACGGCCCAAACUCCUACGGGAGGCAGCAGUGGGGAAUAUUGCACAAUGGGGGAAACCCUGAUGCAGCAACGCCGCGUGAGUGAAGAAGUAUUUCGGUAUGUAAAGCUCUAUCAGCAGGGAAGAAGAAAGACGGUACCUGACUAAGAAGCCCCGGCUAACUACGUGCCAGCAGCCGCGGUAAUACGUAGGGGGCAAGCGUUAUCCGGAUUUACUGGGUGUAAAGGGAGCGUAGACGGCUGUGCAAGUCUGAAGUGAAAGCCCGUGGCUCAACCGCGGAACUGCUUUGGAAACUGUAUAGCUUGAGUACUGGAGAGGCAGGCGGAAUUCCUAGUGUAGCGGUGAAAUGCGUAGAUAUUAGGAGGAACACCAGUGGCGAAGGCGGCCUGCUGGACAGAAACUGACGUUGAGGCUCGAAAGCGUGGGGAGCAAACAGGAUUAGAUACCCCUGGUAGUCCACGCGGUAAACGAUGAAUGCUAGGUGUUGGGGAGCAAAGCUCUUCGGUGCCGUCGCAAACGCAGUAAGCAUUCCACCUGGGGAGUACGUUCGCAAGAAUGAAACUCAAA
rnacentral:rRNA from 1 species